rnacentral:rRNA from 1 species
AUUGAACGCUGGCGGCAGGCCUAACACAUGCAAGUCGAGCGAGCGGCGGACGGGUGAGUAAUGUAUGGGGAUCUGCCCGAUAGAGGGGGAUAACUACUGGAAACGGUAGCUAAUACCGCAUACCAUCGGAUGUACCCAGAUGGGAUUAGCUAGUAGGUGCGGUAACGGCUCACCAAGGCGACGAUCCCUAGCUGGUCUGAGAGGAUGACCAGCAAAACUGGAACGGAGACACGGCCCAGAUUCCUACGGGAGGCAGCAGUGGGGAAUAUUGCACAAUGGGCGCAAGCCUGAUGCAGCCAUGCGGCGUGUAUGAAGAAGGCCCUCGGGUUGUAAAGUACUUUCAGCCGGGAGGCGUUACCGGCAGAAGAAGCACCGGCUAACUCCGUGCCAGCAGCCGCGGUAAUUC